GACGAACGCUGGCGGCGUGCUUAACACAUGCAAGUCGAACGGAAAGGCCCUGCUUUUGUGGGGUGCUCGAGUGGCGAACGGGUGAGUAAAACGUGAGUAACCUGCCCUUGACUUUGGGAUAACUUCAGGAAACUGGGGCUAAUACCGGAUAGGAGCUCCUGCUGCAUGGUGGGGGUUGGAAAGUUUCGGCGGUUGGGGCUGGACUCGCGGCUUAUCAGCUUGUUGGUGGGGUAGUGGCUUACCAAGGCUUUGACGGGUAGCCGGCCUGAGAGGGUGACCGGCCCCAUUGGGACUGAGAUACGGCCCAGACUCCUACGGGAGGCAGCAGUGGGGAAUAUUCCACAAUGGGCGGAAGCCUGAUGCAGCAACGCCGCGUGCGGGAUGACGGCCUUCGGGUUGUAAACCGCUUUCGCCUGUGACGAAGCGUGAGUGACGGUAAUGGGUAAAGAAGCACCGGCUAACUACGUG
rnacentral:rRNA from 1 species